GGCCCCGUAGCUCAGCCGGAUAGAGCACCAGAUUCCUAAUCUGGGGGCCAGUGGUUCAAAUCCACUCGGGGUCACCA
rnacentral:tRNA from 13 species